AAGGAUUGAGCGGUCUGUUUAUUGAGGAUGGGCCUGCCGCUUAUUAACUAGUUGGGGGGGUAACGGCCCACAGGGGCAACUAUUCGCAAACGAUGAGAGGGGGUGAACGGCCACAGAGGGACUGAAACACCCCACACACUCCUGCGGGAGGCAACAGGAAAGAAUCUUCCAUGAUGGGAAAAAGCCUGACCGAACGCCCCCGCGUGAGUGAUGAAUUUUUUCGGAUCGUAAAUCUCUGUUUCAAGGAAGAACGUCUUCUAUAGUAACUGCUAGGAGAGUGACGGUACCUGAAAAGAAAGCCCCGGCUAACUAUCUGCCAGCAGCCGCAGUAAUAAGUAGGGAGGCAGGCGUUGUCCGGAAUUAUUCGGAGUAAAAGCGCGCGCAGGUGUUUCUUUAUGUAUGUUGAUUAAACCCCAGGCUCAUGUUCGGGUCACUGUGAAAACUGGAAGACUUGAGUGCAGAAGAAGGAGAGUGGAAUUCCGCGUGUAGCGGUGAAAAAAGUAGAAAUGUGGGGGAACACCCAUGGAGAGCGCGACUUUUUGGGGUUUAAUGACUCUGAGGCGCGAAAGCGUGGGGGACAAACCAGAUUAGAUACCCUGGUUGUUCCCCCCCUAAACGAUGAAGGCUAAAUGUUUGGGGUUUUCCUCCCUUUGGUGCCGAGUUAAACCAUUAACCUCUCCCCCUGGGGGGUACGGCCCCAAAGUUAAAACUCAAAGGAAUUGACGGGGACCCCCCAAACCGGGGGGGC
rnacentral:rRNA from 1 species